rnacentral:lncRNA from 1 species
CCAAUACUCUAGCAGAUCAUGUUCCACAUUUAGGUGAGGCUUGCACCUUCUGUGUAUGUAGAAGAUACUCUAGUAUAAUUGUUACAGCAAGUUCAUGUGCAAAUGAUUCAACAGAUUCUGUUAUUAUUAGCAUGACUGAGUCAGAUAAAUAAGAAAGUGUGAAUAACGUCACAAUAUCUAUACAAACAUCUUACAUGACUUUUGAAAAUAAC